rnacentral:rRNA from 1 species
UAAGGAAUAUUGGUCAAUGGACGCAAGUCUGAACCAGCCAUGCCGCGUGGAGGAUUAAGGCCCUCUGGGUUGUAAACUCCUUUUAUCUGGGAAGAAAUUCUUACAUUCUUGUAAGAUUGACGGUACCAGAGGAAUAAGCACCGGCUAACUCCGUGCCAGCAGCCGCGGUAAUACGGAGGGUGCAAGCGUUAUCCGGAUUCACUGGGUUUAAAGGGUGCGUAGGCGGGCAGGUAAGUCCGUGGUGAAAUCUCUGAGCUUAACUCAGAAACUGCCAUGGAUACUAUUUGUCUUGAAUAUUGUGGAGGUAAGCGGAAUAUGUCAUGUAGCGGUGAAAUGCUUAGAUAUGACAUAGAACACCAAUUGCGAAGGCAGCUUACUACACAGUAAUUGACGCUGAGGCACGAAAGCGUGGGGAUCAAACAGGAUUAGAUACCCUGGUAGUCCACGCCCUAAACGAUGAUUACUCGACAUCAGCGAUACACUGUUGGUGUCUGAGCGAAAGCAUUAAGUAAUCCACCUGGGAAGUACGAUCGCAAGAUUGA